rnacentral:rRNA from 1 species
AAAGCCUGACGCAGCGACGCCGCGUGCGGGAAGAAGGCCUUCGGGUUGUAAACCGCUUUCAGGAGGGACGAAGCCACUCGGGUGAAUAGCCCAGAGGGUGACGGUACCUCCAGAAGCAGCCCCGGCUAACUACGUGCCAGCAGCCGCGGUAAUACGUAGGGGGCAAGCGUUGUCCGGAUUUAUUGGGCGUAAAGAGCGUGUAGGCGGCCAGGUAGGUCGGUUGUGAAAACUGGAGGCUCAACUUCCAGAGGUCGACCGAAACCAUCUGGCUAGAGUCCGGAAGAGGAGAGUGGAAUUCCUGGUGUAGCGGUGGAAUGCGCAGAUAUCAGGAAGAACACCCGUGGCGAAGGCGGCUCUCUGGGACGGUACUGACGCUGAGACGCGAAAGCGUGGGGAGCGAACAGGAUUAGAUACCCUGGUAGUCCACGCCGUAAACGAUGGGUGCUAGGUGUGGGGGGUGUCGACUCCCCCCGUGCCGCAGCUAACGCAUUAAGCACCCCGCCUGGGGAGUACGGCCGCAAGGCUA